UACGUAGGGUGCGAGCGUUGUCCGGAAUUAUUGGGCGUAAAGAGCUCGUAGGCGGUCUGUCGCGUCGAUCGUGAAAACUUGGGGCUUAACCCUGAGCUUGCGGUCGAUACGGGCAUGACUGGAGUUCGGCAGGGGAGACUGGAAUUCCUGGUGUAGCGGUGAAAUGCGCAGAUAUCAGGAGGAACACCGGUGGCGAAGGCGGGUCUCUGGGCCGAUACUGACACUGAGGAGCGAAAGCGUGGGGAGCGAACAGG
rnacentral:rRNA from 1 species